rnacentral:rRNA from 1 species
GAUGAACGCUGACGGCGUGCCUAAUACAUGCAAGUCGAGCGAACGGACGAGAAGCUUGCUUCUCUGAUGUUAGCGGCGGACGGGUGAGUAACACGUGGAUAACCUACCUAUAAGACUGGGAUAACUUCGGGAAACCGGAGCUAAUACCGGAUAAUAUUUUGAGCCGCAUGGUUCAAAAGUGAAAGACGGUCUUGCUGUCACUUAUAGAUGGAUCCGCGCUGCAUUAGCUAGUUGGUAAGGUAACGGCUUACCAAGGCAACGAUGCAUAGCCGACCUGAGAGGGUGAUCGGCCACACUGGAACUGAGACACGGUCCAGACUCCUACGGGAGGCAGCAGUAGGGAAUCUUCCGCAAUGGGCGAAAGCCUGACGGAGCAACGCCGCGUGAGUGAUGAAGGUCUUCGGAUCGUAAAACUCUGUUAUUAGGGAAGAACAUAUGUGUAAGUAACUGUGCACAUCUUGACGGUACCUAAUCAGAAAGCCACGGCUAACUACGUG